rnacentral:rRNA from 1 species
GAUGAACGCUAGCGGCAGGCUUAACACAUGCAAGUCGAGGGGUAGAAGGAGCUUGCUCCUUUGAGACCGGCGCACGGGUGCGUAACGCGUAUGCAAUCUACCUUUUGCAGAGGGAUAGCCCAGAGAAAUUUGGAUUAAUACCUCAUAGUAUGUGAGGAUGGCAUCAUUUUCACAUUAAAGUCACAACGGCAAAAGAUGAGCAUGCGUCCCAUUAGCUAGUUGGUAAGGUAACGGCUUACCAAGGCUACGAUGGGUAGGGGUCCUGAGAGGGAGAUCCCCCACACUGGUACUGAGACACGGACCAGACUCUACGGGAGGCAGCAGUGAGGAAUAUUGGACAAUGGGCGCAAGCCUGAUCCAGCCAUGCCGCUGCAGGAUGAC